rnacentral:tRNA from 1 species
UGUGGCAGAGCAGUUAAGCAUUUGGUUGCUAACCAAAAGGCUGGUGGUUAGAACCCACCUA